rnacentral:rRNA from 1 species
AUAAAUGUACCAAGGCGUUCGAGACAACCAUCGUUAAGGAACUCGGCAAAUUGACCCCGUAACUUCGGAAGAAGGGGAGCCUCUGAUGUACUAGGACUUGCUCCGAAAGCAUUGGUGGCCGCAGAGAAUAGGUUCGAGCGACUGUUUAUCAAAAACACAGGUCCGUGCUAAACCGAAAGGUGAUGUAUACGGGCUGACGCCUGCCCAGUGCCGGUAGGUUAAGGGAGGAGGUGAGAGCUUCCGACUGAAGCCCCGGUGAACGGCGGCCGUAACUAUAACGGUCCUAAGGUAGCGAAGUCCCUUGUCGGGUAAGUUCCGACCUGCACGAAUGGCGUCACGACCUGAGCGUUGUCUCAAGGGGGGACUCGGUGAAAUUGCAGGACCCGUAAAGAUGCGGGUUACGCGCAGCAGGACAAAAAGACCCCGUGGAGCUUUACUGCAACUUGGCAUUGGUUCGAGUUUUAAAAUGUGUAGGAUAGGCGGGAGACUUUGAACUCUAGGCGUUAGCCUAGGGGGAGUCGCCCUUGAAAUACCGCCCUUUUUAUGAUUUGGACCUAACACUUUUGGACAGUGUCUGGUGGGCAGUUUGACUGGGGCGGUCGCCUCCCAAAGAGUAACGGAGGCGUACAAAGGUCACCUCAGGCUGGAUGGAAAUCAGCUUUUGAGUGCAUUGGCAUAAGGUGGCUUGACUGCGAGACAUACAAGUCGAGCAGGGACGAAAGUCGGUCAAAGUGAUCCCACGGUUCCGAGUGGAAGGGCCGUGGCUUAACGGAUAAAAGCUACCCCGGGGAUAACAGGCUUAUCUUGCCCAAGAGUCCAUAUCGACGGCAAGGUUUGGCACCUCGAUGUCGGCUCGUCGCAUCCUGGGGCUGAAGAAGGUCCCAAGGGUCGGGCUGUUCGCCCGUUAAAGCGGCACGCGAGCUGGGUUCAGAGCGUCGUGAGACAGCUCGGUCUCUAUCCGCUGUGCGCGUAGGAUAUUUGAAGGAAUUUGCUCCUAGUACGAGAGGACCGGAGUGAGCAAACCAAUGGUGUAUCGGUUGUAACGCCAGUUGCAUAGCCGAGUAGCUAAGUUUGUUAGGGAUAAGCGCUGAAAGCAUCUAAGUACGAAGCCCCUCCUGAGAUAAGAUAUCCCAUCUCUUUAUGAGAGUAAGAUCCCCGGAAGACUACCGGGUUGAUAGGCUACAUGUGUAAGUAUAGUAAUAUAUUCAGCUAAGUAGUACUAAUAGAUCGAGGAUUUGAUAAA